AUAUAGGUGUGCAUGCGUCGUGUGCACCGUCGCUGGAAGACUUUUUCCCCUAGUGGUAUCUGUCGGGUCGGCUCUGGUGCCCCCUGGAGUGGAGCCUCUAUGGUGCGGUAUAUAGGCACCUACUGGCCCGCCCCCUCCUCAGUUCCUUCUCGCCAGCAACUCCGACAGAGGGGGAGGAGGGUGGAUUGUGGAAUGGACAUGAGCAACACAUCUCAAAGAACAAGAGUUAUGGAAAGGUUAGUAACUGUUUUUCCUUCUUCAAGUGCUUGCUCAUGUCCAUUCCCAUAUAGGUGACUGCCAAGCAAACACUCAGGUGGAGGGGUCGGAGUUCCUGUGAGACACGGACUGGAGGACCGCUGCACCAUUCCUCACCUGCUGAGUAAGGGUGUAGUGCUCCGUGAGCGUAUAGAUAGACUACCAGAUCAGCGCCCUGCAGAUGUCUACAAUUGGACAAGGGCCACAAAUGCUGCUGAUGAGGAAGAGGACUACUAUCGGAAUCACUUGCUAAGGAAGAGAUAGGAGCAUUCCGGCGACUGCCACGGACGGAAAGAAGGAACUGAGGAGGGGGCGGGCCAGCAGGUGUCUAUAUACCAUGCCAUAGAGGUGCCACUCCAAGGGGCACCAGAGUCAACCUGAUGGAUACCACUAGGGGAAAAUAGUCUUCCAGUGACGGUGCACGCAACGCGCGCACACCUAUAUGGAAAUGGACACAAGCAAGCCCUCGAAGAAUAAGACUCUUGAAAAGCAAAACCAGCAUCUUCCUAAGGUUUGGGACACAGAGAAAGCUGAGGGCUAGAGGUAUGGAGAGAGGGCCCCUCCCUGUGAGAUUCCAGAGAUUUAAAAAAAAAAAAUAGAUUAUGCCGUCCAAGUAAAACA